AACGCGACCCGCGGCGGCCGCGCGGGGACUGCUGGGAAGCGGUGGCGCCGCGGUGGGCUUGGAGAAAGUCGUGAGCUGAGGGACGCAGCCUUCUGUCCGUACCGGCACUGCAGGAGAAGGGCUGGCAGAAGGGGCACCCGCGCAGGCUCAGAUUGCACACAGAAGUGUGCACACAGUGCUCCCAGAAGCAUCAGUUGGGACAGAAAGAGUGGCUCCAGCCCCCCUCCCCCCCCCAACUCCAGGCAGUCACGUGCUCAUGUUCAGUAGUUCCACUACAGGGGGCUACAGGUGUCUGUAAGUAAUCCUAGGAGCUGUAGAGCUUCUAUAGACAGUCCUGGGAGCUUUGGGUAGGCUGUGAAAUGCUGCAGAGGUCCUGGGGUCUGUGGGUUGCUGUAGGUGCUCAUGGGAUCUCUGGGGUGCUGUGGGGUGCUCGAAGGGUCUUGGGAGGGCGGCUGCGAGCGUCCUAUAAGCAGAUGUGGGAGCUAUAGAGGGAGUCUGUAGGGGUGCUAUGAGAGUCCUGGGAUUUAUGUGGGGGGUCAGUAAGGCCACAGGCAGAGGAAUGGGGCCACAGGGGGUGACUGGGACACCAGGGGGUGACAGUGAUGUAGGGCUGCCCUACCCCCUACCAUGUUUUCUCAGGCAGAGCCACACGUGCUGGGCCUGCCCACAUGCCUGGCGCUGCUCCGUGUCCGUAGAGGAGGAGCACGCUGCCAUUCUGCGCCCCUGUGGUGCCCCCCCUGUGGGACCGACCCCCGUGUAUGACAGAACCGCCCCUGUGCUGUGCACCUGCAACGCACCCUGAGGAAUGACUACCCCUCCUCAAAAAUGACCACAGGAGCUGGGGGGCUUCCUGCAGCCCCAUUAAAGCCCCCAUGGUGGCAGGCAAGAAAAGGAACCUAGGUUUCUUACUGCUUUUCAAUGGAAAACAAUUUCCUCUAUGCAUUCCAAGUCCGUUACAGAGUUUCAUACGAUUUGCUCCCCUCUGUUAGAAUCAGUGUUUCUGAAAUACUUUGCAGCCUUACCAACCUCAAGUUCUGGGUCAAUGAAGUCUGAGGUCUGCUUAGAAAUACUCUGAACCCAGAACAGCGUUUCCUUCCCACAAGUCUUCCAAAAGAGUAACUUUUCCUACCACGUUAGCAUUAAUUUUAGACUGUCGUGGCAAGAGUUCAGAGAAGGAGCAAAUCAAGUGUGUCUAAUCGAAAACUAGAAGGGGUGAAAGGGAGGGGGGUGGGGGGAUGAGGAUUGGAAUGUGAAGCACAACCGCAGCUUGGCCCUGUACCGGCAUGCCUGAGGAGCCCCUCGGCCCUGUUUCUCAGCUGAAGCCCAGUCCUCUUUCCAACCUUAGAAACAAACUGAAUGAAAUAGGAGGCUUUGCUCCAGAAGGACCAGGUAAAGGCAGUGACACAGGUUUAAGUUUGGCUGUAUGGAGAUCUAAAGAACUCAAAAUAAAUGCAAAAGUUUAAAAAUAAAGAGUCUGAUUUUAAAAUGUACCCAUUGCGAGAGAGCUUUGACACCUCUGCCAUCUUUUUUACUGCCUUCUAUCACAGAAUGCACGCAGGGCAUUUUCAAUUACUUUAAUUGAAGGUUAUUGUGCACCAAGCCCUGCCAGCCAUUCCACAACAGUAUCUGUAAUCGCCAGCAGUUUCUUAUUUGUGUUCCAAGUAAGACUAUUUUCAGGUAUUUUACUGGAUAAAAAGGGAAUAAAGUAGUGCAUUUAGAUUGAAUAAAAGGUGGUAAGAAGCUCAGUUUUCUCACUCCUCGCAAUAACAUAAUCAUCGCACCAGCAUUAUUUACCUUUGUAAAACUUCAAAACUCUUUCUGGUGUAACGCUGGGACUCAAGUCCCUGUGCUUUCUUUCAUACCUUUAACUAGAGAUCUUGAAUCCCAAGAAUUUAGGCACCAAGGAGAACAACAGUAACACCAUCUCUCACACAGGUCCAGUCUGUCCUCAGCAGCAAAGGAGACUCGCUAGGGACAGACUAUAUGAACUUCCCUCGCCCCCUUUCCUCUGCUAAGCCUUGGGGUGAGUGGAAACCCCAAAAUGCCCAGAAACGAGGCUAUCUCUGUAAGUCAGCACAGAUCCCUUCAAGUCACCUUUUUGACACUGGAAGUCAUAUAUAUGGCCACCAGAGGGCGAAAUACCUCUCUCAGAAUUCUGGGUGCUACUGUAAAGACAUCCAGUGUCCUAUCCGCAUCUGCAUGCUCUGAAGUUAUUAACAAAAUGACUUCUGUAAGUAAGUGCAGAGAUUAAACGGGAGCCCCAGCCUGGAAGUGAUCCUGCCCACCUCCUUUCACACUCGUAUGUAGGAAGAAGUUGACAGAACAGAGCGACCAAACUGAAGGAACCACGCAUCUUCCGUACAGGGAUCAGCUAACCUCUGCAAGCUACCAAGAGGAAUCCAGGGUGCAUCGACUGAAUCCAAACUGCAUCUCCUGAGCUAGCAGGGGGAUGGCAGGUGAUACGUGCUCUGCGCUUCUGCCUGAAGAGCUCAGCCAGGAGGUGGCAGCGCCUCUUGUACAGCACGCGGCCUGCAGGAAAAGAAGAGAUGGAGUUCUGGCAGCAGUUGAUAAUACAACGUUGUCAUAGGUCAUUUUUAAUAAUUGAAAGAACAAUAAAAACUAUGUGUUUUAAUUCAGGAUUAACUUUAAGCCUGUUGUUUAUACAGAGGACAGUCAGCGUACGACCAUCUUCUAUUUGCUGUAUUAGAGAAGUCUCCAUCCAGCAAGAGGUCUCAUGGUUCCUACUGUACAAUGGCAGGGGCAGAGUCCAUUUCAGACUCUAUCAAUACCUCAAAUUACUUCCACAUCCCCAGGAGUCCAGGCUCCUUCCAGGAGCUGACAAAAUGGC
ensembl:lncRNA